rnacentral:rRNA from 1 species
AUUGAACGCUGGCGGCAUGCCUUACACAUGCAAGUCGAACGGUAACAGGUCUUCGGAUGCUGACGAGUGGCGGACGGGUGAGUAAUACAUCGGAACGUGCCCGAUCUUGGCGGAUAACGAGGCUAAAGCUUUGCUAAUACCGCAUACGAUCUACGGAUGAAAGCGGUGGAUCUUCUGUCCUCUCGCGGCCCGAGCGGCCGAUGGCAGAUUUGGUAGUUGGUGGGAUAAAAGCUUACCAAGCCGACGAUCUGUAGCUGGUCUGAGAGGAUGAUCAGACACACUAGGACGGAGACACGGCACAGACUCCUACGGGAGGCAGCAGAGGGGAAUUUUGGACAAUGGGCGAAAGCCUGAUCCAGCCAAGCCGCGUGGAGGAUGAAGGGAAUCGGGUUGUAAACUGCAUUUGUACGGAAAGAAAAGCAUAUUUCUAAAAAAGAGGGGACAUGACGGUACCGUAAGAAUAAGCACCGGCUAACUACGUG